UCCCCUCCCUUCCCGGUGCGCAGCGCUCCAGGCUUCGCCUGACAUCUAGCUGCUGCCGGGGCGCCUGCGGCAGGCAGCCGCUGACUGGCUAAGCGGGGAGGAAAGAAGGAGCUCAUGGAGAAGAGUUCCAGGGACUCGGAAUCCUUAGUGGCGGCAGUGGAGUUGGGAGCAGCCCCCACCUUCAGCUCCCAGUCUUACACGCGUCCUCGUUUUUAACCCCAAUGGAACCUGGCUGGAAGCAGUUUCCCGAGAACUCUGCCCUGUUCAGCGCAGUCUACAGGGGGCGGUGAAAACUUGCAGAAACCCCAGACCCCUCCAAAGUGUCUCCCCGUCUCCGCUGGCUGCUCCACUUCAGAGUGGAGAUCACUAACAUCGGAGUAGAGCACCAGAAGAAAUCUGCCCUUUCUCCGCGGUGGGGUACCUCCCUUGGAGAGUCCUCUUGCUCCCUUUUCUCUGGAACUUGGCGACAGUAGGGGUCAGGAGGUGGGAAGCGCCCUUCUGGGUGCAGGCCGUGGUGGCCAACUAACCUUCAAAAGCGUAGUGGUGGGGUAUCUACACAGGCCCCUGAGGUCACACAGUCUUAGGAACACCAGGAUUCAAACGCGGAGUCCUGAGUCUUCACAUUCUGUCCCUGACACGCGGGUGGGUCAAAGGUUUUCCUCGAGACUCACAUAUAAUCACAUCAGGAUGUGUGCCUCUGGCACCGUCCCAGACGGAGAGUCAUGCCCCAGAAACUGUAGGGUCAUGGAAGGUGGCAGAAGCCAACUAAAGGGGGAAAGAAAUCCACUUCCAGCUGCGAAAAACCGGAGGGCAAAGUUUACAAAUCAGAGCUGAUCUGGACUCCCAAGAGCUGCUAAUCAGGUAGUCCCAGGGACAAGCAACUCCGUCCCAGCAAGCAUGGCUCCUGUCUCCUGCUCCCAGGGAAAGUGUGGGACUUUCGGGAGUCCAGGAAAAGGAGAGGAGGGCAGAGGGCAGAGAAGCGCACAUGGAACUGCAACAACUACCUGAUGCACAGAAAAGCCCAGGCCGUGGGUAUUCCUUUUGAUCAACAAUAACAACGAUUUUCUAGAUGAGAAAACAGGCUCAGAGUGGUAAAGUGUGUUACUCAAGACAAUAGAACUAUGAAACAUCAGAGCUGAGACUUAAAAUCAGAGGAUUCUGACUGCAAAGCUCCUGAUGAUCUUAAACCUCAGAUUCUACAGCCUCUAGCAGGAUAGAAAGGGAAACAAGGACUUUUCAUUUCUCCUCCCUCAUACUCCAGUGGGGCCAAGUCCUCUGCAGCAGCCGGCCAAACCCAGGACCACACAGUUCACUGAAUCAGGCUGCCCGGUAAACGGAUUUAGAUCCACGCCCCAAGGAUCUCUGCACUUUUUCUCCUUCCUCAAAAUCGCGGGCAGAAGUUGAGGAGUGUAUUUUGAAUUACAAUAAAACUUGAACUUAACAGAUGCCCAGGAGGAAGGUUGUAGCAGCGGUGUUUUAAGUAUUCUGAUUGAGUGUUAAUGGAAUGUUGCAAUUUAUUUUAUUCCAACUUCUCAUUUAGAAAAUAGUUUUAAAUUUUAAAGGUAAACUUUCCUAUCAUGAUAAAUAAAUCAAGGGCUCCUACCUUUGAGGAGAAGAAGCUACUUUGCAUCUCCCCCCAAACCUUGUGAUGAGUGGGGAAUGACGCAUUUUCAGAGAAAGAGGCAGGCGGUAAAUCCCCUGAAUGGAAACAAGCAGUCCCCACAAUGCCGAGAACCCCAAGGAGCCGCUGGAAGACGCACCAGGCUGUCACCUGCACUCUCAGACCCUCGCCUCUCUGGGGACCCUUGGGGGAAAACACGGCAGACCUGUUGUGUCCUUUUCUUACGGCAAAGGAUCUUACAAUGCUUCAGGGUCAUCAUUGUAAAUAUGUAUCAGCUAGAUUCCCGUGAUGUCAAAAAUUAAGCUAAGUCACCCUGGCCAGGGGGCUCACUUGGCUGAGCAUCAUCUUGUAUAGCAAAAGGUUAUGGGUUCAGUCUUCAGUCAGGGCACAUACCUUGGUUGAGGGUUUGAUCCCUGGUCAACCCAUCAGUGUUUCUCUCUCUCUCUUCUUCUUCUUCUUCUUCUUCUUCUUCUUCUUCUCCUCUCUAUCCCCCUUCAAUCUUUCUCUAAAAUUAAUUUAAAAAAUAUCCUCGGGUGAGGUUAACGUGAGGACUUAAAAAAAAAUAAGCAGAGUCAAAUUUUCCCUCAGUGCGUACAGGGUGGGGCAGGUAGGUUUACAUUUGUUCAUAUGGAAAAUAAUACAAUAAUUAAUAAAUAAUACAAGAAUAGCCCUGGCUGGUAUGGCUCAGUGGACUGAGUGACGGUCUGUGAACCAAAAGGUCACCGGUUCAAUUCCUAGUCAGGGUACAUGCCUGAGUUGCAGACUGAGUCUCCAGUUGGGGGUGUGCAAGAGGCAACCCCACACUGAUGUUUCUCUCUCUUUCUUUCUCCCUUUCCCUCUCUCUAAAAAUAAAUAAAUAAAAUCUUUAAAAAAGAAUAAACUGUUUCACAUACUCACAACUGUAAACCUACUUUUGCCCCACCCUGUAUGUUAAUAGUUUUCUGUUUUGUCUUUUUUUUUUAAUGUUUAAUUCUUUCAUGUCACUUCCUUAGAUGCCCCCUCCAGAAAACAGAGUGGGGAGACAAUCAAGUGUUGUGUGGGUGGAUUCUGGUUAGUCAAAGCCCAGAAAACCAAAAAAGAAGAUUAUCUCUUUGAUUAGUAAUUUCCAUCUUCUCCCACUCCUCACCCCCCCCCCCCAGUCCUGGUUAGUGCUGUUCCUCUUCAGGGCAGAGAAUGACGUUUCAAAGGGAGACAGAGAGGGUUAUUUCUUUUAGCCCUUGAGGCCUUGAGUUGCUGUGACCCCAAGAUCCUUGUGAUUGAGGAACAGAAAGCUUUUCCUACUCUUUCUCCCCAGCAUAUUGCAAAUGGUGUUGGGACCUAAUGUUGUCAACUCAAAUAGCAAAUCUGAGUUGUUAUUAAUGCAAAGAUGCCCUGAAGGGGUAGGCAGUGUGGAUGAAAUCUGCAACGGAUGUUAUGGGAAAGAGUGUUUAUAAUUAUAAUGGGAUUUAAUGUAUACUGGGACCAGAUGAUGGCAGCCAUUUAAAACAGAGAUGCUUAAUAAGAGAGGCCCCUAAUGACAGGCAGUGGGGCUCAGGUUAUUAUGGAAGAAGCACAGCUGUGCGCCAGGCUCUACACAGUUUUCAACAAAGCUUUGGGGUGAGGCACAGCGACCACUGCUGUCAGCUGUUGGGCAUAAUUUCUUAAUGCUGUCUUUGAAAGGGCAUCUGCACGUAAGAGAAAGCCAUGAUCUCCCUUUGGAUACACAUACGCACAAACAUACCAGCCCCCGGCUAACACUGAGUAGUUCUUGGUGAUUCUGGAAAUCUGCUUUGUUCUGAGUAAGUCAGCCUCAAUUUCAAAACUACAAUUCUGUAGCUGUGGAGAGAUGCAGUGUCCAUACAGUGUGCCUGAAUUGAAGCAGCGUGACUCCCAGAGUCCCACAGCUGAACCCCCCAGGCACUGUGCUGAAAACUAACCUCCAAGUCCUGACCAGAAACCCGGGCUUUUCUGACACUGCGGAGUUUCAGGAGAAACCGGGAAGAGGGAAGAAUGUAACAUUUCCUCUGGCUAUUUAACUCCUGAGGUGUUUCAAGUUACAGAUUUCAGUCCCUAUGGAUGUCAGUCCCAGCAGCUGUUUUGCAACUGGAGUCACACUCAGUAGAAGUGCCACCAGAAGCACCGUGGUCCAGAAAUACAACUCGCGUCUAAGUUGCACUAUUCUCUGUAUUUCUCCCCUGAUGUGAGAGAAGUAUAUGAAGACUACUGUGUUCGUCCCACACAGGACUCAUCCGUGGCUCCUGUGCUCUCUGUUCACAGAGCUUAUGAUCAGUCUCCGAGUCUUUAAAGCAGAAUAUUCCAUUUAUCCUGACAAGGAAAAAAAGAUGAGAAGCAGCAGAACCACAGUGUCUGAGCUGGGAUUCUGGUCUAGGACAAAGGGCUUCCUUCAAGUCCUCUUGGUGAUACACAGGGCAGGUCCAGCUGGAGAAAGAAGCAUCCUGUGUGGACAUGGCCGGGGGAAAACUGGGGCAUCUCUGGACAGUUUCUGUGAACCUCUUUUCCCCAGGUGCCUUUUCCACUAGACUAUGAGGUCUGUGGGGGGAAGGGUGACUGUGGGACUUACUCCUGUGUCUGCUGGAGUUGGCACAUGGUGGGUGUUGAGUUCUUGUUUGCGCUGGGAAAGGAGGUAGGAAAGCAUCAUCACGUGGACCUGUCUCUAAGACCUGAGGGAAUAAAAUUAGAACUGUUGAGAACACUGUCGAGUCAAUGAUUUUCUUAUUCUCCCCUUCUUCUUUGUGCCUGAAUAGCCAAUGUAGCACAAAGGCUGAGAGUGAGGACUCUGGUUUACUCGCAAGGGUCUGUGUUCAAACAGCACCACC